rnacentral:tRNA from 1 species
GCGCCCGUAGCUCAACUGGAUAGAGUGCUGCCCUCCGAAGGCAGAAGUUCCGCGUUCGAAUCGCGGCGGGCGUA